UACGGGGGGGGCAAGCGUUGUUCGGAAUUACUGGGCGUAAAGGGCGCGUAGGCGGCCUGCUAAGUCGGACGUGAAAUCCCUCGGCUCAACCGGGGAACUGCGUCCGAUACUGGCGAGGCUUGAAUCCGGGAGAGGGAUGUGGAAUUCCAGGUGUAGCGGUGAAAUGCAUAGAUAUCAUCCAGAACACCGAUUGCGAAGGCAGGUGGCUACGAUUUAUUUGACACUGAGGCACGAAAGCAUGGGGAGCAAACAGG
rnacentral:rRNA from 1 species